GUAGUCAUAUGCUUGUCUCAAAGAUUAAGCCAUGCAUGUCUAAGUAUAAGCAAUUAUACAGCGAAACUGCGAAUGGCUCAUUAUAUAAGUUAUCGUUUAUUUGAUAGUACCUUACUACUUGGAUAACCGUGGUAAUUCUAGAGCUAAUACAUGCUAAAAAUCCCGACUUCGGAAGGGAUGUAUUUAUUAGAUUAAAAACCAAUGCCCUCUGGGCUCCUUGGUGAUUCAUAAUAACUUUUCGAAUCGCACGGCCUUGCGCCGGCGAUGGUUCAUUCAAAUUUCUUCCCUAUCAACUUUCGAUGUUUGGGUCUUGGCCAAACAUGGUCGCAACGGGUAACGGAGGGUUAGGGCUCGACCCCGGAGAAGGAGCCUGAGAAACGGCUACUACAUCCAAGGAAGGCAGCAGGCGCGCAAAUUACCCAAUCCCGAUUCGGGGAGGUAGUGACAAUAAAUACUGAUACAGGGCUCUUUUGGGUCUUGUAAUUGGAAUGAGUACAAUUUAAAUCUCUUAACGAGGAACAAUUGGAGGGCAAGUCUGGUGCCAGCAGCCGCGGUAAUUCCAGCUCCAAUAGCGUAUAUUAAAGUUGUUGUGGUUAAAAAGCUCGUAGUUGAACCUUGGGCCUGGCUGGCCGGUCCGCCUCACCGCGUGCACUGGUCCGGCCGGGCCUUUCCCUCUGUGGAACCCCAUGCUCUUCACUGAGUGUGGCGGUGAAACAGGACUUUUACUUUGAAAAAAUUAGAGUGCUCCAGGCAGGCCUAUGCUCGAAUACAUUAGCAUGGAAUAAUAAAAUAGGACGCGUGGUUCUAUUUUGUUGGUUUCUAGGACCGCCGUAAUGAUUAAUAGGGACAGUCGGGGCAUCAGUAUUCAAUUGUCAGAGGUGAAAUUCUUGGAUUUAUUGAAGACUAACUACUGCGAAAGCAUUUGCCAAGGAUGUUUUCAUUAAUCAGGAACGAAAGUUAGGGGAUCGAAGACGAUCAGAUACCGUCGUAGUCUUAACCAUAAACUAUGCCGACUAGGGAUCGGACGAUGUUAUUUUUUGACGCGUUCGGCACCUUACGAGAAAUCAAAGUGCUUGGGCUCCAGGGGGAGUAUGGUCGCAAGGCUGAAACUUAAAGAAAUUGACGGAAGGGCACCACCAGGGGUAAACCGCUUCGCGCAGCCGCAGUAGCUCUGCCCCAGAAAGCAGCCCGAAAGGGUCAGUGGUGUUCCUGCCAGCGCUCCGGCGCGGCGAACUAAUUGCUAGUCUCCUCUGGAGGCGACACCCUCAAAUUGCGGGAAAAUCCUAAAGCCAGUGUCACCAAGCCGGCGCCGAAAGGGCGUCGGUGGCCGGGGUAGCGACCUAGGGUACGGUAAAAGCACACUGGAUAAUGCAAUGGACGAUCCGCAGCCAAGCCUCGUCGCCG
rnacentral:rRNA from 1 species